GUCGAACGGUAACAGGUCUUCGGACGCUGACGAGUGGCGAACGGGUGAGUAAUACAUCGGAACGUGCCCAGUCGUGGGGGAUAACUACUCGAAAGAGUAGCUAAUACCGCAUACGAUCUGAGGAUGAAAGCGGGGGACCUUCGGGCCUCGCGCGAUUGGAGCGGCCGAUGGCAGAUUAGGUAGUUGGUGGGAUAAAAGCUUACCAAGCCGACGAUCUGUAGCUGGUCUGAGAGGACGACCAGCCACACUGGGACUGAGACACGGCCCAGACUCCUACGGGAGGCAGCAGUGGGGAAUUUUGGACAAUGGGCGAAAGCCUGAUCCAGCAAUGCCGCGUGCAGGAUGAAGGCCUUCGGGUUGUAAACUGCUUUUGUACGGAACGAAAAAGCUCCUUCUAAUACGAGAGGCCCAUGACGGUACCGUAAGAAUAAGCACCGGCUAACUACGUGCCAGCAGCCGCGGUAAUACGUAGGGUGCGAGCGUUAAUCGGAAUUACUGGGCGUAAAGCGUGCGCAGGCGGUUAUGUAAGACAGAUGUGAAAUCCCCGGGCUCAACCUGGGAACU
rnacentral:rRNA from 1 species